rnacentral:misc_RNA from 1 species
CGUGACGGGUCCGCAUAAUUUUAAUAAGCUUACAUUAAUAGUUUGCUUGCACGGCCGGCUCACCGUCGAAGAGUAAGAAAAUUAGUCAAUUAAUAAAUACGUUGAUUUACGAUUCUUUAAAUAUCUUUCCUUCGUCUUACCCACGAAGUGAAUUUGGCCACAACCACACCUAUCAGCAUCCGUUAUGCAAUCAGCCAGUAUCGCAGUGAACUUUCUCAAGUAGUGGUUAAGGAAGACCCAUCAUAUUAUCGGUUUUCAAAUCGAUAUGUCCUCUAAUCGUACGCGUGAAAAAAGGGGUAUACAGGAAAUCGGCAGACUAAUCACCAUACACGACAAUCCACGAGAUAUUUUCCAGAUUCGAUCGUAUCGUUGAUUUUUUAAGAUUAGACUGUGAAUAUUGUGAACAUUAGAAUGCCCCACCCAAACAAAAUUAAAAUGGUAAUUCUUUGGGCUUUGCUGAAACCUGAUGCUGUGAAGUAUUUUGUACAAAAUUUAGAUACGCAGAACUUGUGCGGAUUCACAAGAAAAUUCCGGAAUUUAGAAAAACAGUUGAGAAACUUUUUAAAUACAGUACGUGUGACGUAGUAUAAAGUAAAACUAAAAUUCUUCGGGGUGAUUUUGAAAUUCAGGUUUGGGAAAUUCGAAAUUGCAGAAUCAAAUUAAUAGAGAUGCAUAUUAAUUCCUUUCGCUAGAAUAAAUUAUUUAUUUUAACAAGACUGUAAUCUGUGUACACUUAUCUCGUAAAUUCAGUGGUAUGUCCAGUUAAUUCCAAAUACCGUAUAGCAAGUGAAUGCAUUUUUAUACAUCGCAGAACGUUGCUAGUAAGAGAAAUAAGUCUCACAGUAGAACGAUGUUCAAACCAGCCCUGUACUCUAAAAUCAACAAUGAGGCGCGUCGUGAUACCAGGGACUUCAUCGAAGAAUAUUCUAAUGAAAUUGGCCAAAUGUCAGGACGGUGCCUUGACAUCGGAAGCGGUCCAUGUGACGUAGUCACCGAUUUUCUCCUUCCAAAACUAAACCCGAAGUCUACCGUUGUCUGCUCGGACAUUUCCAAGCCCAUGUUGGACUACGCAAAGGAAAAAUACGGCGCCAACGAUCGGCUAUCCUUUCUCCAACUGGACAUCGAGUCUCCGACGCUGGCCGAAGAUCUAGUUGAACAAUUCGAUCACGUUACGUCGUUCUAUUGUUUACACUGGUGCGAAGACAUGCGCCAAGCCUUCGAGAACAUCUUUGAACUGCUGCGUCCUGGAGGUUCGGGCUUCUUGACCUUUGUAAGCGAUUUUCCUUGCAUGGACGCGUACAAGGUGCUGGCGGCUAUGCCUCGAUACCAGCGUUACAUGACGGAAUUGCCGAUCUGGCGACGGCCGCGUACAUUCAGAUGCGGACAGGUUCAUUCCCGUAUUUCAGCACGCCGAACAUCCACGCGAGAACCUGAAAAAAUUGCUUCGAGAGGUCGGCUUUGAGAUCAGCCACUGCAGUCGCAGAGAAAUAAGCAACAUUUACGACACUCCGAAUGAUUUCGGCAGAUUUUAAUCCGUUUUUAGGAGUAAUGGCAGCUAUCAACCCGUUCAUUCACCGCAUGCCGGCUCAACUACAGCGAGAGUAUGAAGUAGAUUUGGGCAUAGAAGCGACGAAGAACGCGAUUGUCUUCAACAAGGAUAAC